UACGUAGGGUGCAAGCGUUGUCCGGAAUUAUUGGGCGUAAAGGGCUCGUAGGCGGUCCAUCGCGUCGGGAGUGAAAAGCUGGGGCUUAACCCCAGUCCUGCUUCCGAUACGGGUGGACUAGAGGUAGGUAGGGGAGAACGGAAUUCCUGGUGUAGCGGUGAAAUGCGCAGAUAUCAGGAGGAACACCGGUGGCGAAGGCGGCAUCCUGGACCAACACUGACGCUGAGACGCGAAAGCGUGGGGAGCAAACAGG
rnacentral:rRNA from 1 species